rfam:Trametes versicolor FP-101664 SS1 unplaced genomic scaffold TRAVEscaffold_8, whole genome shotgun sequence.
ACACUGAUGGUGAAACGGUAUCAUGCUUGCCUUCCACCACGAGGUAGCAAGCGGCGUGGGUUCGACUCCCGCUCAGUGUA